rnacentral:snoRNA from 1 species
CCAACGUUGGAUAUCCCGGGAGGUCACUGUCCCUGGGCUCUGUCCAGGUGGCGUAGGGGAGCACAGGAAUGUACAGUCCCUUUCCACAACGUUGGAGAUGAAGCUGGGCCUUGAGUCUGCGCUUGCAUAUUCCUACGACUUCUCAGCCCUGUGGACCAUGACUGAGGAGAUAAACCAUGCAGGAAACAAAC